GAUGUAGCUCAGCUGGUUAGAGUGUGGUGCUAAUAAUGCCAAGGUCGCAGGUUCGAUUCCCGUAUGGGACA